CGAUCUCAAAUCAAGUAAGACUACCCGCUGAACUUAGCAGAGCA
rnacentral:rRNA from 1 species